rnacentral:rRNA from 1 species
GAUUAGAUACCGUCGUAGUCUUAACUAUAAACUAUGCCGACCAGGGAUAUGAGUUGUUAUGAAUGGAUUUUAUCUAUUCAAUUUCCUCUUGUGGACCUUGUGAGAAAUCAUAAGUUUUUGGGUUCUGGGGGGAGUAUGGUCGCAAGGCUGAAACUUAAAGGAAUUGACGGAGGGGCACCACCAGGAGUGGAGCGUGCGGCUUAAUUUGACUCAACACGGGAAAACUUACCAGGUCCAGACAUUAGAAGGAUUGACAGAUUGAUAGCUCUUUCAUGAUUUAAUGGGUGGUGGUGCAUGGCCGUUCUUAGUUGGUGGAGUGAUUUGUCUGGUUAAUUCCGAUAACGAACGAGACCUUUACCAUACUAAAUAGUUUGAUUUAUUCAUUUAUGAAUAGAUUUACAUUUUAUAAACUUCUUAGAGGGACUAUUGGUUCUUAAACCAAAGGAAGUAAAGGCGAUAACAGGUCUGUGAUGCCCUUAGAUGUUCUGGGCUGCACGCGCGCUACAAUGAUAAACUCAACGAGUAUUUAAUAUUCAUUUAUUAUAUUGCUGUAUCGGAAGGUAUGGCUAAUCUUAAACGUUUAUCGUGCUUGGGAUAGAUGAUUGCAAUUAUUUAUCUUGAACCAGGAAUUCCUAGUAAUCGUAUAUCAUCAGUGUGCGAUGAUUACGUCCCUGCCCCUUGUACACACCGCCCGUCGCUGCUACCGAUUGGAUGAUCCGGUGAAAUCCUCGGAUAAUGAUAAAUACUUUACUUUGUAAAGUUUAUCGUUAGAAGUUGAUUAAACCUUAUCAUCUAGAGGAAGCAAAAGUCGUAACAAGGUUUCCGUAGGUGAACCUGCAGAAGGAUCA